rnacentral:lncRNA from 1 species
UCUCAUUCUCUCACCUGUUUUCUACCCUCUCUCUUCUCUUCUCUCGUCUCCGCCCUCUCUCUUCUCUAUUUUCUCCUUCAUCCCUUCUCUACCACCACAACAUGAGUUUCACAUUCCAAAUACGAUGAGAUAUUGCAUAUGGAAUCGCUGAGUAAUGGACACGUAAGACGGACGUAAUUGGAAGCCCUAAAAAACAGCAACGAAUGCAGCGUUGGUGGAGACAAAAGGCGGCGAUGAGGAGAACAACAAUGAAGGCAGCGUUCAUGGUAACAAAGACAAAAUUGGUGGAGGCUUUUACGAGGUAGAACUCAUUUUCAACCGUAUUGUGUUUAAAUCUGUUUCUCGUUUUUAGAACUGAUGUUUUUUAUAUCCGGAUCUGUUUUGUCUAGGUACUACCAAGAUUUGGGAAUUUUAAUGAGCUAUCGACUGUCAAAAUCUAUUCAACUCCUGAUUUUCUCCGAUCAAUAGCAGUUGCUCUUUCUUUAGGGAGAGUUUCGAAAUGGUUUCACUAAGCACACAGAAGAGGCUACCCAGUUAAAAAGCGAAAGGUUUAGCUAAUAUAUGGGAAGAACCCAAACAAUGGUUGAAGGAUGCAUAGCUGCUGAUAGUAGUUCUAAUGGUCAUACAACAAAGACAAGUUAAUAUAUGCAUUCAAUCAUUAACUGCUAACAAAAUCGUAUUAAUUUUCAUUUAAAAGUAAUCCAACCAAUUGAUAUAUGCUACAAUUUCCCUACGUUUUCACAAACACUGCAUAGAUGAACUAGGAUGGACCAACUUUUGUUAAAUAUUAUUUCAUUGUCCAGAGAUUUGACUCCCUAAUGAAUUCAAUUCACUCAAGAGAACAAAUUUCAUAGCUAUUUCUGCACAAUAACAAAUUGAUUCUAGAGAUUUCACAAGUUCCUGUAAUUUUGAUGGUUCAUCCAUCAUUUGCAUAUCAAAACCCUAAAUCCACAAUAUGAACUCAAAAGAGCCACCAACAAAAUUGAGAUAAGGAAUUGAAAAGUGAGAAAAGAGGCAAUCUGGAAAAAGGGGAUUACCUUUUUCCCCAAUCUUUACCUGAAGAGAAGACAGUCUUUCAGUGUAGAACCCCUCGAUGGAAUCAGAGAGAUAAGUCUCGUUGAACAUGGAGCAAACUUUAGCGUUAAUCAAACAACUCCGGAUCUUAUUCCAGUGCUUGGGGUUAGUCACUCUCUUCUGUAACCAAUCGGAGUAUCCUCCCAAUCUAUAGUCCUUAUAGCCGCAGUUGGACACCGCUUGACCGGCUCCUUUGCUGGUGACAACAACGGCGAAGAUGGUCAAGCAGAAGAGGAGGACGAUGAGGAGAAACAUGAAUACAAGGUGAGGAAGCAGCUCCACCCUCUAGUGCCUAUCACAAAGAGGAAAAAAAUUGAACGAAAGAACGAAUGAGGAAGAAGGAGCAUAACGUGUUUUUAUAUGCCAAGAUUAACAUCAUUUUUCAAAUAAACCCCUGCUAACUGAACCACUUAAAUAGACGCUGCAUCAAUGUUACGAUGUCAGGGGUUAAGUGCCCUGUUAAAUGGGUCUAAUUUGACAGGGGUUUAAAAGCUCUGUUAAAUAGGUCUCCAUUUGGAGCGGUACGUAUCCGCAGUUAAACUUUCGUUAUUUAGCAUAGGUUUCAAAAGCCUUGUUAAAUUUCCGUUGCUAAAAACUGUUAUUCUUGUAGUGUGAUCAUAGUGAUACUGCAUGAAUUGAUGGUCUAGGACAAGUAAUGAGAAAAAAUUUGAUAUCGCGAGACAACUCAGGAAGCGCAAGGAUCUCUGCUUGGUUGGAAAACGUCGCAAUUUUGUAUUUUGGACAUAUCUCCUAACUCAUAAAUCCGAAAUUGAUGCAAGGCCGACGACAUUGGAAAGAUAGUUUAAUUCCUACAACUACAGAAAAAGGAUAUUCUAUUUUUUUACCAAAACUGCUUCGCACUUUUGGUCGCCAUACAACGUACUUUUGGUCGUCCAUUAGACUUUAGGAAUCCUUCUUUAUAAAAGCCAAACUCUCCCUCAUAAUUUAGAGACCUUUUUGGACGAAAAUAUGAGAAUUGUUCAGAAAACUAGGUGUGAAGAAAAGGCAUCAACUUCAAGGAACUAGGAUCGGAAGACAUAAUCAAGAUUGUCAAAUCGAUUUCUUUGACGGUUCUCGGCGAAAAGUUUUUUCAGAGUUCUUCUUGUAAAUCUAAUUUCAAUGUGUUCCUUUAUUGAAUUUGAUUUGUUAUUCAUGAUUAUGAGUAGCGAAACUCCUCAUACUUAGAUUAGAUGAACUCUAGGUAAUUCCUUAUGAACAGAUGAUUGUUUGACUUUGACGAUUUAUGCGAGUUUGAUGAAUUUUGGUUUAUGUUUAAUUGCGUUUCUGUUAUUAUUCUUGCUUGGCCAUCUUGAAUAGAACCUUGUUAGAUUUGUCUUAGUCUUGAAAGAGCUUGCUUAUCUCGAACACGGAAAUUAAACAACUAGGUUAGAUGUUAAAUGCUCAUCCAGGAGAGAAUAAACAAGGUCGUCGUGUGAACAAUUCUCGUUUACUUUGUCGCCUAGCUGAUUUCAAAUCUUUGUCUCAAAAGAGCGGACUGGGAUAGUAUAUAGAUAGGAGAAUAGCGGACCCGAAAGGGCGUGAUUUGAUUAGAGAAGAACUGCAAUAGUGAAUUGAAUCUAUCUUGUUUUGUUUAAAUUGUUGAAUUUGUCUAUCAUUUGUGAUUUGGGAUAGCCUAGGGAGGAUUCGAAGUCUAAGCCACUUUCCCCCUUUUGGUUCAAACCUUAUAUUGUAUAGUCUUGCAACCUUGUUUUAUUUUUCCUCUCAUUUGAAUAUUUAGUGUAAUUGAUAAUUUUAGAGAUCAUGGAACCUACACUAUAAAACUUGUUUAAUCAAUUAGCAGUUUGCAUAACUUCGAGUAGACAUGACAUUGAGACCCUAAGGAACUUUGACUCUAGUUAAUUCAUUAACUAGGUUUAUUUUGAGACGAGUAAAAUCGUUUAUCAAAUUGGCGCGGUUUUCGGGGACUUCUUUAUUGUGUUUGAAAUGAGUUGGUUUAGUGUUAAUCAUUCAUUCAUUAUAAAUAACAAUCAUAGUGCUGAUUGUUUAGCUUUUCUUGCUAAUGAAGUUACCGGAACUAUGGAAGAGAGUGAUCUUUCGGAUGCAGCGUCACAAGACAUGGAUGAAGAAAUUGUUAUGGACCAACCUUCUCCUCCGAUACCUGGCACGACCAUUCUUAGUGAUUUUAUGGCUGUCGUCAAAGUCACCCCUGCCGUGAGAGGGAGAGGGAGAGGGUGUCGUAAGAAGGGUCGCAAGUAAAUGAGGGUUUUAAUUUGGAAUCAGAGAGGGUUUAAUUCCCCUCCAAGCAUAGUUACUUUCUCUCUUUCUUCAAUAAGUUCAAUGUAGAUACUUUUGCUAUUUUAGAGAUUAGAGUAGAAGUAAAGUAAGCUCACAAGAUUUUGAGGUCUACUUUUGGUAAUUAGAGUAAUUUCACUAACUAUGAAAGGAGC